rnacentral:rRNA from 1 species
GAUGAACGCUGGCGGCGUGCUUAACACAUGCAAGUCGAACGGGAUCCCAGGAGCUUGCUCCUGGGUGAGAGUGGCGAACGGGUGAGUAAUGCGUGACCGACCUGCCCCAUACACCGGAAUAGCUCCUGGAAACGGGUGGUAAUGCCGGAUGCUCCAGUUGGAUGCAUGUCCUUCUGGGAAAGAUUCAUCGGUAUGGGAUGGGGUCGCGUCCUAUCAGCUUGAUGGCGGGGUAACGGCCCACCAUGGCUUCGACGGGUAGCCGGCCUGAGAGGGCGACCGGCCACAUUGGGACUGAGAUACGGCCCAGACUCCUACGGGAGGCAGCAGUGGGGAAUAUUGCACAAUGGGCGCAAGCCUGAUGCAGCGACGCCGCGUGCGGGAUGACGGCCUUCGGGUUGUAAACCGCUUUUGACUGGGAGCAAGCCCUUCGGGGUGAGUGUACCUUUCGAAUAAGCACCGG